rnacentral:rRNA from 1 species
GGUUAAGCGACUAAGCGUACACGGUGGAUGCCCUGGCAGUCAGAGGCGAUGAAGGACGUGCUAAUCUGCGAUAAGCGCCGGUAAGGUGAUAUGAACCGUUAUAACCGGCGAUUUCCGAAUGGGGAAACCCAGUGUGAUUCGUCACACUAUCAUUAACUGAAUCCAUAGGUUAAUGAGGCGAACCGGGGGAACUGAAACAUCUAAGUACCCCGAGGAAAAGAAAUCAACCGAGAUUCCCCCAGUAGCGGCGAGCGAACGGGGAGGAGCCCAGAGCCUGAAUCAGCAUGUGUGUUAGUGGAAGCGUCUGGAAAGGCGCGCGAUACAGGGUGACAGCCCCGUACACAAAAGCGCAUGUGCUGUGAGCUCGAUGAGUAGGGCGGGACACGUGGUAUCCUGUCUGAAUAUGGGGGGACCAUCCUCCAAGGCUAAAUACUCCUGACUGACCGAUAGUGAACCAGUACCGUGAGGGAAAGGCGAAAAGAACCCCGGCGAGGGGAGUGAAAAAGAACCUGAAACCGUGUACGUACAAGCAGUGGGAGCACAGGUUUACCUGUGUGACUGCGUACCUUUUGUAUAAUGGGUCAGCGACUUAUAUUCUGUAGCAAGGUUAACCGAAUAGGGGAGCCGGAGGGAAACCGAGUCUUAAUUGGGCGUUAAGUUGCAGGGUAUAGACCCGAAACCCGGUGAUCUAGCCAUGGGCAGGUUGAAGGUUGGGUAACACUAACUGGAGGACCGAACCGACUAAUGUUGAAAAAUUAGCGGAUGACCUGUGGCUGGGGGUGAAAGGCCAAUCAAACCGGGAGAUAGCUGGUUCUCCCCGAAAGCUAUUUAGGUAGCGCCUCGUGAAUUCAUCUCCGGGGGUAGAGCACUGUUUCGGCUAGGGGGCCAUCCCGGCUUACCAACCCGAUGCAAACUGCGAAUACCGGAGAAUGUUAUCACGGGAGACACACGGCGGGUGCUAACGUCCGUCGUGAAGAGGGAAACAACCCAGACCGCCAGCUAAGGUCCCAAAGUCAUGGUUAAGUGGGAAACGAUGUGGGAAGGCCCAGACAGCCAGGAUGUUGGCUUAGAAGCAGCCAUCAUUUAAAGAAAGCGUAAUAGCUCACUGGUCGAGUCGGCCUGCGCGGAAGAUGUAACGGGGCUAAACCAUGCACCGAAGCUGCGGCAGCGACGCUUAUGCGUUGUUGGGUAGGGGAGCGUUCUGUAAGCCUGUGAAGGUGGCCUGUGAGGGUUGCUGGAGGUAUCAGAAGUGCGAAUGCUGACAUAAGUAACGAUAAAGCGGGUGAAAAGCCCGCUCGCCGGAAGACCAAGGGUUCCUGUCCAACGUUAAUCGGGGCAGGGUGAGUCGACCCCUAAGGCGAGGCCGAAAGGCGUAGUCGAUGGGAAACGGGUUAAUAUUCCCGUACUUGGUGUUACUGCGAAGGGGGGACGGAGAAGGCUAUGUUGGCCGGGCGACGGUUGUCCCGGUUUAAGCGUGUAGGUGUGUGUUCCAGGUAAAUCCGGUUCACUUUAACACUGAGGCGUGACGACGAGGCACUACGGUGCUGAAGCAACAAAUGCCCUGCUUCCAGGAAAAGCCUCUAAGCAUCAGGUAACAUCAAAUCGUACCCCAAACCGACACAGGUGGUCAGGUAGAGAAUACCAAGGCGCUUGAGAGAACUCGGGUGAAGGAACUAGGCAAAAUGGUGCCGUAACUUCGGGAGAAGGCACGCUGACACGUAGGUGAAGUGAUUUACUCAUGGAGCUGAAGUCAGUCGAAGAUACCAGCUGGCUGCAACUGUUUAUUAAAAACACAGCACUGUGCAAACACGAAAGUGGACGUAUACGGUGUGACGCCUGCCCGGUGCCGGAAGGUUAAUUGAUGGGGUCAGCGCAAGCGAAGCUCCUGAUCGAAGCCCCGGUAAACGGCGGCCGUAACUAUAACGGUCCUAAGGUAGCGAAAUUCCUUGUCGGGUAAGUUCCGACCUGCACGAAUGGCGUAAUGAUGGCCAGGCUGUCUCCACCCGAGACUCAGUGAAAUUGAACUCGCUGUGAAGAUGCAGUGUACCCGCGGCAAGACGGAAAGACCCCGUGAACCUUUACUAUAGCUUGACACUGAACAUUGAGCCUUGAUGUGUAGGAUAGGUGGGAGGCUUUGAAGUGUGGACGCCAGUCUGCAUGGAGCCGACCUUGAAAUACCACCCUUUAAUGUUUGAUGUUCUAACGUGGACCCGUAAUCCGGGUUGCGGACAGUGUCUGGUGGGUAGUUUGACUGGGGCGGUCUCCUCCUAAAGAGUAACGGAGGAGCACGAAGGUUGGCUAAUCCUGGUCGGACAUCAGGAGGUUAGUGCAAUGGCAUAAGCCAGCUUGACUGCGAGCGUGACGGCGCGAGCAGGUGCGAAAGCAGGUCAUAGUGAUCCGGUGGUUCUGAAUGGAAGGGCCAUCGCUCAACGGAUAAAAGGUACUCCGGGGAUAACAGGCUGAUACCGCCCAAGAGUUCAUAUCGACGGCGGUGUUUGGCACCUCGAUGUCGGCUCAUCACAUCCUGGGGCUGAAGUAGGUCCCAAGGGUAUGGCUGUUCGCCAUUUAAAGUGGUACGCGAGCUGGGUUUAGAACGUCGUGAGACAGUUCGGUCCCUAUCUGCCGUGGGCGCUGGAGAACUGAGGGGGGCUGCUCCUAGUACGAGAGGACCGGAGUGGACGCAUCACUGGUGUUCGGGUUGUCAUGCCAAUGGCACUGCCCGGUAGCUAAAUGCGGAAGAGAUAAGUGCUGAAAGCAUCUAAGCACGAAACUUGCCCCGAGAUGAGUUCUCCCUGAGACUUAGAGUCUCCUGAAGGAACGUUGAAGACGACGACGUUGAUAGGCCGGGUGUGUAAGCGCAGCGAUGCGUUGAGCUAACCGGUACUAAUGAACCGUGAGGCUUAACCUU